GGCAAAGAAGAAGACGCAGAGCAAAGGAGAAAAAGAAACAGGGAGGGAGAGAGAGAGAUGAUGGUCGUCGAAGGAGGAGGAGAAAGCGGGGGUGGAAGGGGGAAAAAGGCCAUGGUAUUCAUGUGGGGUUACCUCCCGGGGGCGUCGCCCCACAUGGCGCCCAUCUUGUCGCCAAAGCCCGUGCCAGAGACCGCGGGAGACCCGUUGGUAGACGUGUGUGGCGGGGGUUGCGGCUUUGCGGUAGCGAUCUCCGAAUCUGGAAAGCUCAACACAUGGGGCUCCACAAAUAGUCUAGGCCAAAGCUAUGUGGUUGCAGGGAAGCAUGAGGAAAUGCCGGAACCAUUUCCUCUUCCUACAGAGGCUGCCAUCAUAAAGGCUGCUGCCAGUUGGGCUCAUUGUGUUGCUGUCACAGUAAAUGGAGAUGUCUGUACAUGGGGUUGGAAGGAAUGUGUACCAACUGGUAAAGUUAUGGAAGAUCAGUCAAUUAGAGAAAACCUGGAGAAAAAUGUCACACAAAGGCACAAUGAUUCACUAGUCGAGCAAGUGAGCUCCACUUCGCAAGUCAGGCAGGAAGCCAUUGAGCAGAAAAGAUUACGGGAAAAAAAGGGCACUUCAGAGAGCUCAAGCACAGUUACCCAUGAAGCUAUAUCUACCGUUCCAUGCUUAGUUUCAUUUAGUCCAGGAGUUAGAAUUGCCACAGUUGCUGCUGGUGGAAGGCAUACAUUGGCAUUAUCUGAUAUGGGUCAGGUUUGGGGCUGGGGCUAUGGAGGGGAAGGUCAACUAGGCUUGGGUUCUCGGAUCCGGAUGGUAUCCUCUCCUCAACCGAUUACUUGUGUUGAGACCUCUUCUUACUGCAGAGAAAGGACGUCAGUGUUUAGAGGAGGUAUGGCUCCUGAUACCGUUAUCUACAAGGUUCCAGGAACCUAUGUUAAGGCCAUUGCAUGUGGAGGACGGCAUAGUGCUGUAGUGACCGAUGCUGGUACUUUGCUAACUUUUGGUUGGGGAUUACACGGACAGUGUGGACAAGGAAGCAAGGAUGAUGAGCUUAGCCCUACUCUUGUGUCAUCUCUUUUGGGCAUUGGAAUUGGAGGGGUCUCAGCAGGGUUGUGGCAUACAGUCUGCAUAUCCGUUGACGGCCAAGUACAUGCUUUUGGUGGGAACCAGUUCGGCCAACUUGGAACCGGCAACGACCAAGCUGAGACUCUUCCUAGGCUUCUGCUGGCCCCUUCUUUGGAAAGCAAGCACGCCAAAGUAGUUUCAUGUGGCGCACGACACAGUGCCAUUGUUACAGAGGAGGGCGAGGUGUUGUGUUGGGGAUGGAACAAGUAUGGUCAGCUUGGUUUGGGCGACACCAUCAACCGGGGCAUACCAUGUCAAGUUCAGAUAAGUGAAUAUCGUCCACGGAACCUAGCGUGCGGGUGGUGGCACACAUUGCUGCUGGCUGAGGCUCCUACGUGAAACUGCAGACAUGCAAACAAGCCAAUUCUUUUGGUUCCCCCAGUUAUAACUGACAAUACUGGGACUUCGAAAAUUCGCAUGACGACUAGAAAUGUAAAGCCGUUGGGGAAAAUUAAAAUAUUCAGAGAAAUAUUAGAACUUGCUCA